rnacentral:precursor_RNA from 14 species
UGUAGCACCAUCCAAAUCCAUCCUUGGGUCACUGAGUUCGUUUGGUGGGUAGAAGUGUGUCCAAUUCUCUAGCACCAUUUGAAUUCAGUUCAUCCAAAGAGUUCGAAUCGACUGGAGCGAG